rnacentral:rRNA from 1 species
GACGAAGGGGGCAAGCGUUGUUCGGAAUUACUGGGCGUAAAGGGCGCGUAGGCGGUUCUUUAAGUCAGGCGUGAAAGCCCUGGGCUCAACCUGGGAGUGGCGCUUGAUACUGGGGGACUAGAGAGUGGGAGAGGUUGGUGGAAUUCCCAGUGUAGAGGUGAAAUUCGUAGAUAUUGGGAAGAACACCGGUGGCGAAGGCGGCCAACUGGACCAUUUCUGACGCUGAGGCACGAAAGCGUGGGGAGCAAACAGG